AGAACAGGUGGAGGAGAGAGAGCAUCGAUAGAGAGAACAGGUGGAGGAGAGAGCAUCGAUAGAGAGAACAGGUGGAGGAGAGAGAGCAUCGAUAGAGAGAACAGGUGGAGGAGAGAGAGCAUCGAUAGAGAGAACAGGUGGAGGAGAGAGAGAGCAUCGAUAGAGAGAACAGGUGGAGGAGAGAGAGCAUCGAUAGAGAGAACAGGUGGAGGAGAGAGAGCAUCGAUAGAGAGAACAGGUGGAGGAGAGAGAGAGCAUCGAUAGAGAGAACAGGUGGAGGAGAGAGAGCAUCGAUAGAGAGAACAGGUGGAGGAGAGAGAGAGCAUCGAUAGAGAGAA